UACGGGGGGGGCAAGCGUUGUUCGGAAUUACUGGGCGUAAAGGGUGCGUAGGCGGCCCGGUAAGUCAGUGGUGAAAUCUCCUUGCUUAACAAGGAAACUGCCAUUGAUACUGUCGGGCUUGAGUACAGUUGCUGUGGGCGGAAUAUGACAUGUAGUGGUGAAAUACAUAGAGAUGUCAUAGAACACCGAUUGCGAAGGCAGCUCACAAAACUGUAACUGACGCUGAGGCACGAAAGUGCGGGGAUCAAACAGG
rnacentral:rRNA from 1 species